rnacentral:rRNA from 1 species
GCCUACGGGGCGCAGCAGUGAGGAAUAUUGGUCAAUGGCCGAGAGGCUGAACCAGCCAAGUCGCGUGAGGGAAGACGGCCCUACGGGUUGUAAACCUCUUUUGUCGGGGAGCAAAGCGAACCACGUGUGGUUCAUUGAGAGUACCCGAAGAAAAAGCAUCGGCUAACUCCGUGCCAGCAGCCGCGGUAAUACGGAGGAUGCGAGCGUUAUCCGGAUUUAUUGGGUUUAAAGGGUGCGUAGGCGGAAUAUCAAGUCAGCGGUAAAAAUUCGGGGCUUAACCCCGUCGUGCCGUUGAAACUGAUGUU